rnacentral:rRNA from 1 species
UACGUAGGGGGCAAGCGUUGUCCGGAUUUAUUGGGCGUAAAGAGCGUGUAGGCGGCCAGGUAGGUGGGUUGUGAAAACUGGAGGCUCAACCUCCAGCCUGCAGUGGGUACGGGCAGACUAGAGUGCGGUAGGGGAGAUUGGAAUUCCUGGUGUAGCGGUGAAAUGCGCAGAUAUCAGGAGGAACACCGGUGGCGAAGGCGGGUCUCUGGGCCGUAACUGACGCUGAGGAGCGAAAGCGUGGGGAGCGAACAGG